rnacentral:pre_miRNA from 1 species
AGUGGGAUAGCUGGGUCAAACAGUGGUUCCAUUCCAAAUUUUCUAUGGAAUCUCCAUACUGCUUUCCAAAUUGAUUGCACCAAUUUGCAAUCCCAACAGCAAU